rnacentral:rRNA from 1 species
UACGUAGGGGGCAAGCGUUAUCCGGAUUUACUGGGUGUAAAGGGAGCGUAGACGGCUAAUCAAGUCAGAAGUGAAAACCCAGGGCUCAACUUUGGGACUGCUUUUGAAACUGUGUGACUGGAGUGCAGGAGAGGUAAGCGGAAUUCCUGGUGUAGCGGUGAAAUGCGUAGAUAUUAGGAGGAACACCGGCGGCGAAGGCGGCCUGCUGGACCGUAACUGACGUUGAGGCUCGAAAGCGUGGGGAGCAAACAGG